rnacentral:rRNA from 1 species
AACGAACGCUGGCGGCAUGCCUAACACAUGCAAGUCGAACGAACCCUUCGGGGUUAGUGGCGCACGGGUGCGUAACGCGUGGGAAUCUGCCCUUGGCUUCGGAAUAACAGUUAGAAAUGACUGCUAAUACCGGAUGAUGUCUUCGGACCAAAGAUUUAUCGGCCAGGGAUGAGCCCGCGUAGGAUUAGGUAGUUGGUGGGGUAAAGGCCUACCAAGCCGACGAUCCUUAGCUGGUAUGAGAGGAUGAGCAGCCACACUGGGACUGAGACACGGCCCAGACUCCUACGGGAGGCAGCAGUGGGGAAUAUUGGACAAUGGGCGCAAGCCUGAUCCAGCAAUGCCGCGUGAGUGAUGAAGGCCUUAGGGUCGUAAAGCUCUUUUACCCGGGAUGAUAAUGACAGUACCGGGAGAAUAAGCUCCGGCUAACUCCGUGCCAGCCGCCGCGGUAA